GAAAGCCUAGUAAAUAUUAUAUAGUUCUGUCAGCACUAAGUUAUGGGUAACCAAUCCCAUGGCUCUCA
rnacentral:tRNA from 1 species